ensembl:snoRNA
GUUGAGGUCUAUCUGGAUGGGGCUUUUUCUGUAGACCUAUGUCAUUGGAAAUGUCUCAUAGAAUAACUGUGUGCUUUCCUUUACUCACAGAACUACAUGUUAGAUCUGUGGGAAAGAACUACAAGACAGAG